GGAGGUCAACAAAGUCAAAAGGAGUAACACAUCUUUGAUUCAGUACGAGCAACCGCAGACAUCGAUUUUAAGGAAGCAGUGAGCAAAGUGAAAUGUGUUACAAUAUAAAUUUUUGAUGUAUAAGAUGUAAGAAGUAUAUGAAAUGGAUUAAACAAAAAAAAACAAAGAAAGAAUGAUCAAUAAAUUACACGGUCCGUGAUGAUGAUUCCUUGGGCCGGUGCGAACCCGAACCGGAAAAGAGCCCUCCCAGUCGGUUCCCGACGUCAUCCGGCGAGAGCAGUACCGCCGAUGCGUCCUCCAGCGCCGCCUCCCACCGGGUGUAGAACCCCCGAUACGCCGGCAGGAUCAUCCCGCGCACAGUCGCCCUCACCUCCUCCCGCAUCGCGGCGUCCGCCACCACCCACCCGGUU
rnacentral:lncRNA from 1 species